UCCAGUCGCAUUUCGCCGAGACGUCCUCCCCAACCGGCCGGCACAGCUGCUUCACCGCUCCCGUGAGCCCUGCGGAAGCGUUACAGGACCGUGUGACGGAGCCUUUUCCACGUAAAGGGGCCGUGUGGGUGGCCUUCAGGAACGGGCCGAGGGGUUGCCGUGCGCCCUGCGAUGACGGCGUCUGGCUCCCGGCGUGGCCGAAGCGCGCGGCCUCAGGACGUGGCCGUUCACAGGAGACCCUGACCGAGAGACGGCAGCCUGGCGAUGGCAGGAACUUCCCGGAUGGCGAGGCGGCCUUCCUUGGCGCUCCAUGUGGAUCCUCCCCGCUGGGCAUCCGAGAGCUGAGUCGGAGGCUGCAAAUUGCAGAGGGGCUGAAAUCGGGGUGCCGGGUCGGGACUCGUGACCUGGGAUUAUGGAGUCAGCUUUGGGGACGGGGAGGUCCAGGCUGUGGCCCCUUAGGCCACGUGAAGGGAGAGCCUCACAUUUGUUCACAGUGCUGAGGUGUGCAGGACGGAGCAGCCCCAGGGCGUGUUGUAUCACUUGUCCAUUGUGCCUUGUGUGUCUUUUGUGCUUCUUGUGUUGUACGUGCCUCACCUUAUCUCUUCUGGGGGCUUACCAGAAACCCCGGCGUCGCUCCUCGCAUCUCUGAUCUCUGGGCUCCUCAGCCCGACGCCAUCGAAGCUUUGCCUCUGGAGCUCUCAGAGGCCUUGGAAUCGCGUCUCUCUUUUAAAAGCAUCCGAUCGGAUGUCUUUUAGAGGUCUUGUUCCGAGCUGUGUCAACAGCCGUGCGCCGCGAGGAUCCAUUGUUGCGGCUUAGGUCUUGAAGAAACGCAAAGAUUGGUAGGGGACUGUGGCCCUCAGAUUCUCGGGCAUCCGUCUUGGCAGUUGCUGGAGUUUGUCAUUCCGUCAGCAUCUUCUUGCUCCCGGGUUCUGCGAGCUUCAUCAGCUCGCCUUCAUUCUCACCCGGCUCAUCUCGUUCCGCGUUCUCUCGGUCCUUGCGGCCAUUCUUGUGGCCCAGAGUUUUGUCUCCCCGUUGUGUCCCCUUGUCUGUUGUCUUGUGUGUCACGGGUGUCUGGGUGU